ensembl:lncRNA
GGGGAAUUCUGGCAGAGGGGAGAUUUUCGAGACAACACCUGUGCAGAAGCAAAGGCUACGUAUGUAUUACAGGCUAAUAUAGUUGUGUAUGGCAGUCCAGACGGCAGCAUCAAGCUUGGCUUUGUAUUUGUAUCCAUUCCAUGCAGUCACUAAAAGAGACAACCGGCAGAAUUGUGUCCAGAGACUUGUCUUCCACCUACACCUCACCAGAACACAACGCAGAAAGCUGCUUUAUUGGUAUGAAAAACAUUGUCUCACUUUUGCCAAAGCAACAAUGUGUACAAUAUACAUUGUAAUACAAUUAUAAAAAGAUAACAAAUAGUAAUAUAAAAUGGUGGCAAAUGAUAAUACAACAUGAAAUACAAAAAUAACAAGGUAAGUCAGUAGUAGAAAUAUAAUAAAUAAAAAUGGAAAAUGAAACUAAAACUAACUUAUAACUAAAUAACUAAUCUUCACCAUUACAUCAGUACUACAACCACCAUCAUCAUUACCAUCAUCAAAUCAAAAAUCAAAUUGAUUUAUAUAGCCCUCCAUACAUCAGCUGAUAUCUCAAAGUGCUGUACAGAAACCCAAGCUAAAACCCCAAACAGCAAGCAAUGCAGGUGUAGAAGCACGUUGGUAGGAAAAACUCCCUAGAAAGGCCAAAACCUAGGAAGAAACCUAGAGAGGAACCAGGCUAUGUGGGGUGGCCAGUCCUCUUCUGGCUGUGCCGGGUGGAGAUUAUAACAGAACAUGGCCAAGAUGUUCAAAUGUUCAUAAAUGACCAGCAUGGUCGUAUAAUAAUAAGGCGGAACAGUUGAAACUGGAGCAGCAGCACAGUCAGAUGGACUGGGGACAGCAAGGAGUCAUCAUGUCAGGUAGUCCUGGGGCAUGAUCCUAGGGCUCAGGUCCUCCGAGAGAGAGAAAGAAAGAGAGAAUUAGAGAGAGCAUAUGUGGGGUGGCCAGUCCUCUUCUGGCUGUGCCGGGUGGAGAUUAACAGAACAUGGCCAAGAUGUUCAAAUGUUCAUAAAUGACCAGCAUGGUCGAAUAAUAUUAAGGCAGAACAGUUGAAACUGGAGCAGCAGCACGGCCAGGUGGACUGGGGACAGCAAGGAGUCAUCAUGUCAGGUAGUCCUGGGGCAUGGUCCUAGGGCUCAGGUCCUCUAAGAGAGAGAAAGAAAGAGAGAAGGAGAGAAUUAGAGAACGCACACUUAGAUUCACACAGGACACCGAAUAGGACAGGAGAGGUACUCCAGAUAUAACAAACUGACCCUAGCCCCCCAACACAAACUACUGCAGCAUAAAUACUGGAGGCUGAGACAGGAGGGGUCAGGAGACACUGUGGCCCCAUCCGAUGAUACCCCCGGACAGGGCCAAACAGGCAGAGUAUAGCCCACAAAGAUCUCCACUACGGCACAAGCCAAGAGGGGUUGUGCCUUCCUCUCCCUUUUACACUCUCGCUCCUAUUUUCUAUCUCCUUUUCUCUCUCCUUUUCUCUCUCCCUUCUCCCUCUCUCUCCCUUCUCCCUCUCUCUCCUUUUCUCUCUCCCUUCUCCCUCUCUCUCCUUUUCUCUCUCUCCUUCUCUCUCC